rnacentral:rRNA from 1 species
AUUAGACGAAUCAUCUGGAAAGAUGAAUCAAAGAAGGUAAUAAUCCUGUAGUCGAAAAUGUUGUCUCUCUUGAGUGGAUCCUGAGUACGACGGAGCACGUGAAAUUCCGUCGGAAUCUGGGAGGACCAUCUCCUAAGGCUAAAUACUCUCUAGUGACCGAUAGUGAACCAGUACCGUGAGGGAAAGGUGAAAAGCACCCCGGAAGGGGAGUGAAAUAGAACCUGAAACCGUGUGCUUACAAGUAGUCAGAGCCCGUUAAUGGGUGAUGGCGUGCCUUUUGUAGAAUGAACCGGCGAGUUACGAUUUGAUGCAAGGUUAAGCAGUAAAUGUGGAGCCGUAGCGAAAGCGAGUCUGAAUAGGGCGUUUAGUAUUUGGUCGUAGACCCGAAACCAGGUGAUCUACCCUUGGUCAGGUUGAAGUUCAGGUAACACUGAAUGGAGGACCGAACCGACUUACGUUGAAAAGUGAGCGGAUGAACUGAGGGUAGCGGAGAAAUUCCAAUCGAACCUGGAGAUAGCUGGUUCUCUCCGAAAUAGCUUUAGGGCUAGCCUCAAGUGAUGAUUAUUGGAGGUA